ACUCAAAGGAAUUGACGGGGGCCCGCACAAGCGGUGGAGUAUGUGGCUCAAUUCGAUGCAACGCGAAGAACCUUACCAGGCCUUGACAUGCACUAGACAGACGCUGAAAGGCGUUCUCCCUUCGGGGCUGGUGCACAGGUGCUGCAUGGCUGUCGUCAGCUCGUGUCGUGAGAUGUUGCGUUAAGUCGCGCAACGAGCGCAACCCCUGUCCUUAGUUGCCAUCAUUAAGUUGGGCACUCUAGGGAGACAAACCCUCUUUGAGGGUGGGAAGGUGGGGAUGACGUCAAGUCAGGAUGGCCCUUACGGCCUGGGCUGCACACGUACUACAAUGCCCGGUACAGAGGGAAGCAAUACCGCGAGGUGGAGCAAAUCCUCAAAACCGGGCCCAGUUCAGAUUGUAGUCUGCAACUCGACUACAUGAAGUUGGAAUCGCUAGUAAUGGCGCAUCAGCUACGGCGCCGUGAAUACGUUCCCGGGCCUUGUACACACCGCCCGU
rnacentral:rRNA from 1 species